UCUUCCUUGUUGAGUUUCCUGACAACGCUCUCCAGUGAGCCAUCAGUUUCUUCACGACCCUGGGGACAUGCAGGCUCCGUUUUCAAGUACAUCCUGGGGCUUGGCAUGUGUGACAAAAGGCAGAGGCCUCUGAACCUGCUUAAUUCACCUCUGACUGAAGGUGAUGAAGACAGCGGAAUGGGCAGAGCUCUAAGACGUGGCAUGGGUCCCACUCAAAACAAGCAGAUCUGAGAAGAUCGGGAAGGACCCAGCUGCCCCCGAGCGGGCCACGGCAUCUGUUCUGGGAGGCUCUUGGCUCUGACUGCCGCCCCUGGUUAUGAAAGUUGGAUGGUGCCUGGGAACCCUCUGCUGGCUCCUCUCAUGCAAUUUCCCAGGCCUUCUCAGCUCUCCCAAAGCAGCCGGGUUACCAAGCAGCCCAAAGAGUGAAAUGUGCUCGAUGUGGGCCAGGGAUCCUGAGCUGCCUGGAUCUCCCUCUGACAUUUCCCAGCCACGUGGGAGGAGAGAUGGGACGAUUUGCAAGUGGCUCACCCUCCUUUGGAGAAGAUAAAUGUCAGAACUGAAAGCAACUGGGUACUGAUAUAGAGCUGCCUGCUCUUAAAUAA
ensembl:lncRNA